AGUACACUCCUCCCAGAUUUCUCUCAUAAGCUAGAAAAUAAAAGAUGAUAAGUUUGCAAUAUGAAGAGAAGUGAAGAAAAGCCUUGCAUUUAUAAAAGUUGGGCAUCAUAGGUCAAUGAGGAAUCACAAACUUAUUCCAAUUAGGAGCUCAACUCAAAGAAGAAAGCUCAAAUACAGUUGAAAAGCUCGAUAAAUAUUUAUCAUCUCCUCCAUACCUCACAAGUGUCAUGCAGAAGCUGGGGGUCAUUUGUGGGAACACAUAUUUCGCCAGCCAAUAAGAAGACGACACGUGAAAAAUAAAUAUUCUUUAAGUCAACUAAUUACCCUAAUUAAAUAUGAUUUAAUUGGGAAAAUUAUCUUUGAUUUAAGAUAGGAAUAUCUUCCUAAAUCAAGGAACCAAUUUUCACUAAAUCUCUUGGACUAAUUCCCAUUAUUUUUUUGGGUAAGAAUAAUUAUAACAAAAUAAGGAUUAUUCUCCUAAAACCCUAGCACCCUAGCACACAGGAGCCCAUAAAUACAUGGGUACACAAGGCAUUCAACGUAAUUCUUUUUUAACCUAAAAUCCUCUCUUGCCGCCACUCUCUCUCUCCUCUCUCUCACAAGGUUAAUUGCCACCACACAUGGCUUCGGCCACCUAGCUCUCCCCGUGAAAGAAAACUCCAUCCACUUUAGCUAUUGUCGUAUCGUUUUCAAGAUCCAAUCAAACUAACUUAGGCAUCAGAGGGCCUUUGGCCAACACUCCCUAGGUGUAGUCUAUUUACUCCUAUUUAUUUCACACAGAUCGAGGAAGAGAGAGAAGGAAGCUCAAAGAUCGCGAAAUCAACCUGAAUAUUCCCCAUGCAAAAUUUUGCUCAAACAUACUAAACUUAAAAUUUCCUCUCCAUCUAGCUUGUGCGGCUCCUAGUUAAUCUAUAAUAUUUUCCCACAACAAACUUUUAAUGGGAAAAGACUGCAACAUACAUAUUUAUAAUUUUUUAUUUUACAUGUAUAAUUUUUCUUGUAUGAGGUAGACAAAGUAAUAGUCAUGGGACAAUUAAAGAAGCUUAUAAUACAAUCAAUUGCAGGUCAUCAUGCUACGAAAACUUUAUCAUAUGCUUGUGUCUCUAUCAAAUUAGAUACCCAGAAAAGAAAAAAAUUACGCAUCAACACUUAGUAGAUUAAAGAGUCAACAAGACUUGAACUCACUUUGUUAAUAUGCUCAACCAUUCACGUCCCACAUAUAUAUAUAUAUAUAUAUAUAUAUAUAAAGACCAAACACUCUUCUAACAGAAACAAUAAAUCAAUGUGGUGUGGCUAGACCUAUAUGCAUAUACAUGCUUUAUGACUACAAACACAGGGGCCAGCUAGUUGCACAAUAUCAAGUUUUUACGUAUCAGUAAUACUAAAGUUAAACAAAAACCAAAUACCUGUAUUAGCAAACCCAUGAACAAAUAAAUUUUCUGGCCUAUUCACCAUUUCAUUUUCUUGAAAGCCUUCAGAACAUAACACAUGCAUAAGCCUUCAAAACAUAACAAAAUAGGCGUUCAUAACAUUUGCUUCAUCAGUGAAAAAUGCAGCAGCCAAAUAGUGCAGAAUUAAUAUAUAAUCCUCUCUUUCUCUGCAAAUGGUUUGUCUAACUAGAAACUAGAAAACUGAAAACCAGCAUAAAUCGCAGGCAGAUAUUGUAACCUAAAACUCAAUAUUAAAAAAUAAAAGCCUAAUUUAUAUUAACAAUCCCAGGUUUCAGUACACCAAUUUCGCUGAUUUAGAAAAACAAAUUGCAUAUUUACCUCUCUAGGCUGCCAAUCAAGACACACCAGGAUGAAAUUGAGGAGGUAGCAGAUUGAAGGUUGCUUCUGUAGAUUCUUUGAGCGAAGAAUUGCUGGGAAGGUGGAAUCUUUUUCUUGAUGGGCCUCAAGAUUUGAUAAAGAAAGAGAGAGAAAGGCGAAUGUGAGAGGGAGGAUUGGAUCUCCGCGAUCAUCCAUAGUGGACUUGGUGUGGAAGAAGAGGAAGUUGUUUCACAGGUUGGAGAGAAUGAAGGCUACGUUUAGUUCAAGUUUAGUCGGGUGUUCAUUAGAAAUACGGGUUUUAUUUUACCCGUUUCUACUGUAAGAUUGGAUUUCUUUUCAUCCGUUGGAUUACAUCCAACGGACUAGAGCCGUUUGCAUCCAUUUAGCACCCGUCCC
rnacentral:lncRNA from 1 species